CGCGCGGGGAGGAAUCAAGAUGGCGGCGGCGGCAAGAUGGUGGCGGGGUGCUGGGAUGGCGGCGGUGCUUAGGGUCGCUCGCCGCGUUCGGUGGCUCGUCCCGGGGGAGGGCUCGGUCGCCCCUCUCAGGGUCGUCGGCCUGGCGGUCGCGCAGCCCCCGCGAGGUCCUGGUGCGGAGCGCAGGAAGAAGCGAGUGUGCACUGCUGACUCAGAUCCAUGGUAAUGAGGUUUAGAAAUGUGUCAGCUGCGCACACGUGAAGAGUUGCAAUGCCAUGCUUCAUAUAGCCUGACUUCUUGUAUGCAUCCUGGAACCAAAUGCUUGCCACUUGGGCACAUGUGCUUCUGCAAGUGGGAGUCCCCGUUUUGAAGUAUGUAUACAUUUGUUUUUUUAAUUCAUUUUGGCUCAGGACAUGAUUACAGUUAUUUUGUUACAAACUCUCAUGUAUGUAAUUUUCUUCUAGUGAGAUUACUGUAUUUAAAUUAUAGUCCUGUUACAAGCCUUUCCUGCAAAACAUAUCUUGUGGUGCAGUACACACGGUAUCUCCUGAGAAGAGCCUCCCAGAAAGUGUGCAUGUCUGUAGAACUGAAUGAAAUAACGGUGGAGGAAUUAUAGCCAUAGAUAAUACAGAGAUCAGUAACUGUGGUAUAAGCUGUUUCUUGCAAAUUUGUACUUUAAAUGAAUUAGUGUUUGAAGGCUGAGAAGAUCCCAGCUUUCAUGGAAGACCCAUAGAGUGUACAGGCUGCAUCUGAUGUUGGUGACUUAGUGCCACUUUGCUGAACUGUGUGAUGUUGUUGCAGUUCACUAGACAGUAAAAUGAGACCCAAAUCCCAGGCAGUGGGCUGUAAUUGUGAUCUGCUGGUGAAAUGCUGUUUGGCUAGAAAUGUGUUUGGAUUUGCUUAGAUUAUUAGAAUUUACUCACAGCUUAGGUUGAGCUUUCAUUAAUUAGUUCUCCCUGCACUAAGCAUCUCAACAUUGCUUUAGGUUAUCAACUGUUUCAGCUUUGCAGGACAAAUUCGCACUCAUCUGCAGCAGUGUAUAGUCUGAUACAGGCCAAUGGGUUCAAGGGAAGAUAAGGCAUCGCAGCUACACAACUGCUUCCGUCCUGUAUUGUUUGGAAAGGGCAUUAUAUGAACAGCCUUGCUGGCCAUGCCGAGAGGUACAGACUAGUAAGGCACCAAACACGCCCUGGCAAAAUUUCUUGAGGGACCAGCUCCAGCUGCACCCUUGGUUACCUGGACAGGGGAUCUGGCUUUGCAAGAGGCCUUGAAAUGGCUCCAACAUGGGAAGAAUAAAGAUACUCAUAAAAUUAGUACAUGGGUUACACUGCGCUGAUGUCAUAAUGCUACCCAGUGAGGACCAAACUUUGUUUUAGCUGUAACAUUAAAAAGCACACUAUAAUUACACCAGUGUUAAUAAUGGGAUAAUUUGACCCAGACUGAGAAUAAAAGUAUUAUGCAAAGAACUUUGGAAAUGUUGGAGGAAGAGGAAAAAGGUGGGGAGGAAGAGGUCUGCUGAAGUAGGCUUUGCUAUGGCAGAACUUGUAAGAGGGAAAGGAAGUCCCUGCAGAAGGAUGAAUGAAAACAACAAUUUUUGUUUGAGUUUAAUCCUUGCAUGAUGUGAGUGCACAUGAGAUCUCUGUCCGCUUAUACAUGCUGGGUCUGUUGAAAAGUCAGAGACCCUCCAGGACUGUUUGCUUAGCAGAUUGCUUUGUAGAACAGUGUCCAUGAAAUUCUAAAGGUUUUGUCAGCGUUGGAUAUAUCAAUUCUUGAUCAAAAUGUUGCUAGAUGUACAAUGAUUGUUAUCUAAAUUAGUGGAACACGAUUCCCCCUUACUGUCAGUUUUUGAAAACCUAGAACCUUGUGCAAUAAAUUUGCUUUGGAUUUGGUGUUUGACAGAAGGAGCACACAGUUUUAUUUGCAGAAGCUGUGCCCACACUCUCUAUGUUACUUGAUAGAAAAAAAAUGUUGUCGUGUGUCUUCUAUUUGAAUUGUUUGCCUUGCACCAUGCCUGUGCUCAUGUGCUGAGCAGCUGUGAAAGAUAUUCUUCCCCUUUGCCUUUUUUUGAUGAAAAUACAUUGUGCACCUGAGUUCUGAAUAAAAUAUCAAGGGCAAAUCUGUAAAAUGCUUUAAU